AACGCAUAUUGCGCUCGAGGCUUCGGCCAAGAGCAUGUCUGCCUCAGCGUCGGGUUAAUAUCACACUCCUUACUCCUGUAUGAAGUGUGGAUCUGGUUGUUCCAGCGUGGUGUUCAAUCCUUUGGACUGAACAAGCAACCUGCUGGAUCAGCUGAAGUGCAGAGGCUAACCAAGGACCCGUUAAGGGCCGCAACUGGGUAGGCAUUUCCAAUGCUACAUGCUUAGUUGUUGGUCUGGGACUUUGAUUGUCGGCCCUCAAACAGGAACCAUUAACCCUUAUUUUCUCGACCUGAGCUCAGGCAAGAACACCCGCUGAACUUAA
rnacentral:misc_RNA from 1 species